UGGGAAGUGUUUUCCCAACACAAGUAAUCGAAUAGAUCACUACAGGACAUUUAUGAUACUAGUACCAUUUACAUUUGGAAACAUAAACAAACAAUUUUACAUCAAAGUCGGCUAUGCAGAAAUGAACAAUGGCAUUUAAAUCACUGAGAACACAUUUCACAGAAAUUUUUACAAGUAUUGUUCCAGCAAACAAAUAUACUUGGGGUACUUAUAGCCCGAUGGAAAGUAGCACCUUCGUCACCGCUUAAGCCAAAAUCUAUUUUCAGAGAUCAAGGCCUAGCUUAAGUCGAGAGUGAAGCCUCCCCACGUUAGUGAAUUGAGUUUGGCUUUGAGUCUCAUCUGGAAGAGGGGUGAAAUUCCUAGGGGAGGGGGAGGGGGAGCGGGAGCUAUUUUCUAAAGUAUGAGAUAAUCAGCACAAGUACCAUUUUUGUCCUUUCAUUUGGUAAUCUUUUUAUUCAGCAGUAACCAGUAAAUCCAACUUACUAUUUCAUUCAGCGACAUCAAAUAAAAUCUGUAUUUCAUACAUAAAAUUCAGCUUGACAGGAAAAUUUGAGGAAGUUUGUUAAAUAUUUUUGUCAUUCUAAAGCUCGUUGAAAAAAAUUGGUCAAAGGGCAAUCAAGUUCUAGAAAAAGACAUUUAAUA
rnacentral:lncRNA from 1 species